rnacentral:lncRNA from 1 species
CAAUGAAUGUUAACGUGGUUAAGCUGCAGUGAAAAAGAAAAAGAAAAACAAAAGACUCCUGUAACGAACUGAAUUCAAGUACUUUUGAGUUCUGAUAGCCCUUCUAUCGUCUUAUUCUCCUCUUUUCUAUCUUUCUUCCAUGAACAUAAGGUGUUUCUCUUUUCAUUCUUGCAAGUAAUCUAUUCUACAUAUGAUUCUAUUGUGUAAUUUCGAACUUUUGAUUUGAACUGAAUUUUGUUUUGCCUUCACCUGACAACUUUUGAAGGUGCGAGAACAUUGAUUCUUUAUUCGAUGAAACAAUCUGGUGAUGAAGGAUUGUGCCUAAACACAGAAGAAGUAGAAAAAGUGGUUAUGAAAAUAUGGCCAUGCGAGGAUUGAGAAAUACGAGAAUGACAUUUUGGGGUUUGAUUCAAUUCAAUGUUGGAUUUGAGAUUCGCAGAUCAAGUACUUCACAUGCUGGUAAACUACAUCGUAGAUCUAGGUUAUACCCCAUAUUCUGAAUUUGGUGAAAAAACAUCUUUCACAAGGACUUAAAGGACUUGAUUACCAAAAAUCAGAUCUAGGUCCCUAUCAUAUACAUAUGAGGAAUUGAAGAACAUAUAUUCUUGGCUGCUAAUAAUGCAUGCGAUCACAAUGAUACAUGUUCAUAUGAGAGAAGUAGUGGAGACAGAAUAGAAGGCAACGACAGAGUGAACAACACCGUCAGGUAUUGUUUUUUUCUUUUUUAUAUCUUAAUUCCUCCUUUAAUUAUCAUUGUCUAAUCUAGAUCAUCAAAAUAUUCCCAUGGUGUAAAUUUUAUGAACUUCACCUAAAGUUACUUAGAGGAGUCGAAUCCGACACGGUUUCUAUGGCCUAUUUAUCCACACACACACCAUUAAUCUUACGGACGAAUAUUAACGUAGCCAUCAGAGAAUUAUACUGUGAACCAUAUGAAUAAGUUGAUCAGUAUACGUAUUUCGAAUCCAGGUCUCUCUGCAUGAUCAACUUUUUGGAAGAAAAUUAAAUUAUGCUUGAUGAAACAAACGCCCAAUGUCGAAACUUCAAUAUAUCGAAAGCUUGUUGUACGUGAAAGCUGCCAAAUUUUGUAGUUAUGUUUUCUUCCGUUCUCUGUUUCAUAUGAUAUUUACAUGUAAUCCACAUGCAAGUUAUACUCCUGAAAGAUGUGUGUUUGUGCAUGUCUAAUAUAUAUGCACGCAUAGGGUUCAAACUUAGGGUCUGGUUCAAGGGACACAAAUUUUGACACUAUUUUUUACACUAAUUUUUAUCCAUUAGAUCUUAGUUGAUCAAAUGGUUGUCAUUAACUAUGAGUAUGACUUGGCAAGUGACAUGACAAUAAUAUAUUUUCCAAAUAAAAA